UGGUUUGUCACUGUCCUUGCGUACAAAAAGCAUUUGGAUGAUAUGAUGUCAAUUGAAUUUCUCAUAAUUAUUCAUCCAGAAGGUAAAAGAGGACGAAAAACAAGAGUUGAAAUCACAGAGAAAGAAGGUACAGAUGAAAGAGAAGGAGGAGGAAGUUGAGUGGAAGCCAGAGAAAAUUGUGUAUAACCACAGCGAAGGAAGUGACUCUGAAGAGGCACAUGAAACCAAUAUCUAAC